AGAGAGUGCAUGCGAGACCGUCUCGUGUCCGCUCCGGUUGGUGUCAUGGCAUCGUGUGGCCGCUAGGUGUCGCGCAAAGGCCACGAACGCGCCUCGCUGUUGUGCGGCUUUAUUUUCCACUGCGAAUCCAGCAGGAACAAACUGUACCGCAUACGAAUCGCAAAAUCAAUAAUGAUAUGUGCGCACCGCUCAUCCCCUCAUAUGAACGCGCGCGCGCGUGAGCGGAUCAGCGCAGAUUUCCAGCAAAGUGGCCCUUUCGGUCGCGUCUGUGUUUUGUCCAAACGUUUUUUCAUACUGAACGCUCAUUAUUGGCUCGUCACACGUUGACGUAUCCCGGUCGCAGCAUUGCGGGCUUAGCGAAGAAAACGCUGAGAUUAUAAAACUAUACAUCUAGCCAGACGUCGUCUCGCGCUGGGUUUUCUAGCCCGAGUUACAAAACACUAAAAAACCGCUUCGUGCUCCAACGGGGGGAAAGGAAAACUGCAGCAGGAAUAAAGCGACGAGAGCGCGAGGAAACCGGAGAGGAGGGGCGCGCGCGUUUCCUCUCCGCCGCAAGAAUCCAUUGAGAGAGCGAGAGGGAGAGAGAGAGAGAAAGAGAGGGAGAAGAAAGGAAAAGCAGCAGCAGCAGCUCCACGCCACUCCUUUGUUUUAGGAAAUCGCUUGAAUCGCUCGAAGGACUGGAAUGAUGCAUCGCGUUUCUCUCGCGUUUUUCCGCGACGCCUGUUUUUGAAGGCGAACUUGACGAUUUUGCGUUUAAUUUCGUGGAAGAGCCUUCGAGACCCGAACCCUUCGGACGCAUAAAGCGUUUCCUUCGCGUUCGCCCUCCAUGCGUUUCGACUCGUGUUUUCCACCGUUUUCCUUCGCACGCCACAGGAUCUGCUGAUCCGCCGAAGCGUUCCAAAAGCGCGUUGGUUUUUCUGCUCGCGGUUCGAGUCUGUUGUUCGCGUCCAGGCCCGAGAAAUUCAUUCGCCGCUCUUCAAAGGCCUUUAAUGCGGCACACGCGCGUCACUCUGUAACGGGUUUCAACGCGUCAGAUGAGCGUCGGUUCUGAUCCGUAAAGCGCCGCUGAUCCUCUGCCAGAACAUCUCGCCUUCGUUGUUCGCUCUUCAUACGCCACAUCUGCGGCCCACUUCAAUGUUAAUGUCGACCGACGUCGCAUCUGUAAUGCUGCCCGUGAGCCGCGGGAUCCUGGAGCGCGACAGGGACCUGGACUCGGGUUCGGCGGCGGUUCGGGGCAUGAAGCGCGGGGACCCGGAGCCGGAGGGCGCCGCGGCGGCGGGGGAUUCGGUCGGGGCUGAGUGCAAACGAGCGCGGAUGGACGGAACCGGAGACAUCGGACAGGGUUCACAGGACGCGAUGGGAGCUCCGGAGGGCGUCGUGGCUCCGUUCUCCUCCUUCCCUCCCCCUCCGCCUCCUCCCCCUCAGAACGGCCUGGCGCUGGAGUUCGGGGGCGGCAGCAUUUACCCCGCAGGGGGGCAAACGGAGGCCCCGGCAGGAGUCAGCAGCACCCCCUCCUCUAACCCCAGCACUCAACUGUCAGACGGCUCUCCUCAGGCAGAAGGUCAGUGUGUUUCUGCCGGCGGUUCGGGCAGUGACGACUCCUCCGAGGCCAAAGGAACCCCGAAACGGCUCCACGUGUCCAACAUCCCCUUCCGCUUCAGAGACCCAGACCUGCGGCAGAUGUUCGGGCAAUUUGGAAAGAUUCUGGAUGUGGAGAUCAUUUUCAAUGAGAGGGGCUCAAAGGGUUUUGGUUUUGUGACGUUUGAGUCCAGUGCAGACGCAGAGAAAGCGCGAGAGCGUCUCCACGGGACCAUCGUGGAGGGACGAAAGAUCGAGGUCAACAACGCCACAGCUCGAGUGAUGACCAAUAAGAAGUUGGUUAGCCCGUACGCUAACGGAGAAGGUCUCAGCACGCUGCCCUACGCUGGGUGGAAACUGAGUCCUAUGAUGGGCGCCAUGUACGGACCGGAGCUCUAUGCAGUUCCAGGGUUUCCAUAUCCCACUGCCGCCGCCGCAGCUGCCGCCUCCACAGCUGCGACCUUCAGAGGGGCUCAUCACCUGCGGGGUCGCGGGCGGCCCGUCUACGGAGCCGUGCGCGCCGCCGUUCCGCAGCCCGCCAUUCCGGCCUACCCAGGUGUGGUGUACCAGGAUGGGUUUUAUGGAGCUACAGAACUGUAUAAUAGUGUUUCAGGACACUCUGGUUAGUAGCAGAAUGCCUCAGGUAGGCUCACAGACGGAUAGUGUGCAUCUCUCCUUCUGAUUAAUACAUUUGUUUGAUAUUGAUCGUGUGAGAUUGCUGUCUCUGUUUCCCUACUAACUCACAGUAAUCUGACAGGAGUGAGGGCUGGAAGGGGGAGAAAGAAAUUCUGCUUGAAUUCUGCACAUUUCCUCUCUAAACGAUUCAGAGCGCAUGAAAAAUUUGGCAGCAGCAUCAAACGUCACAGCGGCGACUCCUACUAGGGAAAAUACCAAAAAACAGCGGUCGUAGGGCUGGGCGGUACGGCCACAAACCCGUCUCACUGUACCCGUGAUUUUUAGCUGUGUAUGUCGUGAUUUACUUCUAUUUUACUUCAAGGGAAUUCGAUAUAAAACGGUUUAUGUGAUCACGUGGCAGGUGCUUCAUCUCAUUUUUCAGAUUAUUCAGACUCAAAACGUUUGAUUUGAUGAGCCACCGGCGAUAGCAAACACCUGUGACAUCCGUUUAAUCGCGUAUGACAGUUUGUUUGCGUUGCUCAUGAAACGCUGAAACGUUUUUUAAAUACUUUUUAUCCUCCUUGACUUGCUCGUUCAGUUUAUUAAAACUGCAUUGAGCAAAAACACACCAGCACAGCGUAACAACGGUACGUCUCGAUCUCGAGCGCCGUGCCGCCCAGCCCUCAGCGGUAGAUUAUUUACACUUCUGAGAAUGUAAAUAAUUGUCUGGCGCUGUUUUUCAGCCGAAUGACUUCCUGCAGGUCUUUUGUUGUGCAUCACUGAUAUUUGAGACGAUAGUUUUAAGGACUCUGGAUGUUUUGGGUUUUGUCAGACUGGAUCUGAUUCUGUCCCCUUCCCAGAGUCCCUGUCUCUCUCUAUACGGCAUGUUAACUCGAUCUGUGUUGGCAUGCAAUCACACUUAAUUCCCUCGUAGAUCUCUCUCUCUCUCUGUUAUUCUCUCUCUCUUCUCUGCUUACCUUGACUUUCCAUCAGUGAUUCACUCUACUCCGCUUACCUUCAUUUUCAAGUCACCUGCUUCUCUUCCUGUCACCUCAGCCCAUCUCUCUCUCUCUCUCUCUCUCUCUCUCUCUCUCUCUGUCUUGCCUCCCUCCGCGGCUGCGCUCUUGCAGGAGUGCGAGGGAUCGUGGGAGAGUUUCCUGAUUGGCCGUAGGGUAGAAUGCUGAGGAGAGAAUGGCGGAAAUGGCUUGUUAUUGUAUUGAGUUUGGGGUGCAUGCUGUCUGUGUGGUUGUGUGGAUGUUCUCCUAAUCUCACUAUCUGUCUGUCUGUCUGAAUACGGCACCAGUAAUCGAUUGGAUCACCCCUGGUUGUGUGUAGCUGUGCGUUCGGGGGUGACGAUGACACUGACGCUAAUGCACUCACGAUCCCCAUUUCUGCUUGUGUCUCCCUCUUUGACAAACAAACCACCGAUUCUUAAUCACUAGAGAAACGACUCCCAUUCUACCAUGACUGUGCAUUGUUUGCCACUGAGGAAGAUUCACAGUGCGUAACAGACCUACGUACGGUUCUCCGAAUGCGGUUUAUGUUUGACUGAACAUCAGUGGCAGAUUGCUUGUUAAUGGACUUUAGGUUUGCUUUCUUGAACGUUUUCAUGUCCUUUUUUCCCUGCUAACUCACCACUUCACCUGCCUCUUCGUUCCGGUGCUCUUUUUAAAUGCAUCUGUUUUUUUGUCUUUGUAGAGCGGCUAUACCGCGUACCGCUACACCCAGCCGGCGGCCGUAGCGAGUCCGACAGCGGCGGCGGCGGCGGCGGCCGCCGCCUACAGUGACAGCUACGGCCGCGUGUACGCAGCAGAUCCGUACGCGGCUGCG